CCUACGGGAGGCAGCAGUGGGGAAUUUUGGACAAUGGGCGAAAGCCUGAUCCAGCAAUGCCGCGUGAGUGAAGAAGGCCUUCGGGUUGUAAAGCUCUUUUGUCAGGGAAGAAACGGUGAGAGCUAAUAUCUCUUGCUAAUGACGGUACCUGAAGAAUAAGCACCGGCUAACUACGUGCCAGCAGCCGCGGUAAUACGUAGGGUGCAAGCGUUAAUCGGAAUUACUGGGCGUAAAGCGUGCGCAGGCGGUUUUGUAAGUCUGUCGUGAAAUCCCCGGGCUCAACCUGGGAAUUGCGAUGGAGACUGCAAGGCUAGAAUCUGGCAGAGGGGGGUAGAAUUCCACGUGUAGCAGUGAAAUGCGUAGAGAUGUGGAGGAACACCGAUGGCGAAGGCAGCCCCCUGGGUCAAGAUUGACGCUCAUGCACGAAAGCGUGGGGAGCAAACAGGAUUAGAUACCCUGGUAGUCCACGCCCUAAACGAUGUCUACUAGUUGUCGGGUUUUAAUUAACGUUGGUAACGCAGCUAACGCGUGAAGUAGACCGCCUGGGGAGUACGGUCGCGAAGUUAUUAAAACGUCAAAAGUUAGUAAGUUCCGGAGUUCGAGAGAGACGACGACGACGACGACGGAGGAGGAGG
rnacentral:rRNA from 1 species